AAGAACAAGAGGCGGCAGGCAACAUUGAUUUUAGUUUCUUUUUUUCUUUUUUCUAUUUCCUUUGUUUUCUUUGAAACAUUGGGGAUAAUGUUUCAUAUAAGUGUGGGGGGAAACCUUGUUCUUUCAACCUUCCCUUUUCAAGUAUGUUAUUUUCCCUUUCAUUGUUAUUUCCCUUUCUUAUUAUUAUGAAAAAAAAUUAUAAUACAUAUUUAUUUUAAGUU
rnacentral:lncRNA from 1 species